CCUACGGGAGGCAGCAGUGAGGAAUAUUGGUCAAUGGACGAGAGUCUGAACCAGCCAAGUAGCAUGAAGGAUGACUGCCCUAUGGGUUGUAAACUUCUUUUAUAUGGGAGUAAAAUGUUCCACGUGUGGGAUUUUGUAUGUACCCUAUGAAUAAGGAUCGGCUAACUCCGUGCCAGCAGCCGCGGUAAUACGGAGGAGCCGAGCGUUAUCCGGAUUUAUUGGGUUUAAAGGGAGCGUAGGUGGAUUGUUAAGUCAGUUGUGAAAGUUUGCGGCUCAACCGUAAAAUUGCAGUUGAAACUGGCAGUCUUGAGUACAGUAGAGGUGGGCGGAAUUCGUGGUGUAGCGGUGAAAUGCUUAGAUAUCACGAAGAACUCCGAUUGCGAAGGCAGUUCACUGGACUGCAACUGACACUGAGGCUCGAAAGUGUGGGUAUCAAACAGGAUUAGAUACCCUGGUAGUC
rnacentral:rRNA from 1 species